rnacentral:lncRNA from 1 species
GGGGUGAAGAUUUGAGAUUAAAGUUUAAAAUUUUAUAAAAUAAAAAAUAAAUAUUAAAAAUUUGAAAAUAAAAUUUUUUAAAAAUAGUUUAAAAUAGUAUUUUCGAAUUACAAAAAUAAAAUUUGAAAAUAAAAAUUUAUAAAAAAGUUCAAAUUUGAAAACAUAUAGUCAAAAACUAUAAAAUAUUUUUUUUAUUUUUUUAUUUUUUUUAUUUUUAAUAUAUCUAAGGUAUUAGUGUCAUUUUACCUAUUAAAUGAAAUAUUUUGGUCAUUUACCUCCUUGUGAUCUAUUUUUGUGACCAAAAC